rfam:Sus scrofa chromosome 15.
ACUUGCUUCAGCAGGAUAUUUACUGAAAUUGGAACAAUACAGAGAAAACUAGCAUGGCCUAUGGUUAUGCACAAGGAUGACAUGCAAAUUUGUGAAGCAUUCUAUAUUUUU